rnacentral:rRNA from 1 species
CGACGAUCAGUAGCCGGCCUGAGAGGGUGACCGGCCACAUUGGGACUGAGACACGGCCCAAACUCCUACGGGAGGCAGCAGUGGGGAAUAUUGCACAAUGGGCGAAAGCCUGAUGCAGCGACGCCGCGUGAGUGAAGAAGUAUUUCGGUAUGUAAAGCUCUAUCAGCAGGGAAGAAAAUGACGGUACCUGACUAAGAAGCCCCGGCUAACUACGUGCCAGCAGCCGCGGUAAUACGUAGGGGGCAAGCGUUAUCCGGAUUUACUGGGUGUAAAGGGAGCGUAGACGGCGAAGCAAGUCUGAAGUGAAAACCCAGGGCUCAACCCUGGGACUGCUUUGGAAACUGUUUUGCUAGAGUGUCGGAGAGGUAAGUGGAAUUCCUAGUGUAGCGGUGAAAUGCGUAGAUAUUAGGAGGAACACCAGUGGCGAAGGCGGCUUACUGGACGAUAACUGACGUUGAGGCUCGAAAGCG